AGACUAGCUGGAGUAGAUCUAAGCAGUAUUAAUGUGGCAGUCCGCCUCAGCAUGAAAGUGGAGCUUUGCAAAAGGACGAGAAAUGGAUUUGGAUGGGCAAGGUUGAAAGUAGUUAAAGAAAAGCCAUUGCAACUCAGCAGUGAACAAGGCAAAGACAGUCAAUUGAAAUCAACCCUCCAUUGCACAGUAAGAGUAUAUGUGUGAAGUUCUUGAGCCGAGCCCCUAAAAGUCUCCAUGAACAUCAAACCACGCCUGUUGGGGGACCUCAGUUCUCUACCAAAUGUCUUGUUAAUUGAGCUUUGGCAAAUGUCUCCAUGAGGACCAUUGUCACCCGUCAUGCUCAUGAGAGUCACGGCCUACGCUUCCACAUACUUUUAAAAAUCUUAUUAAAGAUUACAGAGCAGUCAGGUGAGUACACAGACAAUUACAUCCAGACGAUGAACAGAAGGACAGAAUAAUGUACUAACUUUCUGCUCUUUAAUGGACUUUACCUGUGACCCAAAUAUAUUCCUUCUAAAGCAUUUAUAGAACUAUCAAAGUUUAGAUAUUGUAAUACCAAUGUGUAAUCCAUUCUAUAAUGCAGAAUAUCUUUCUAAAAUGUGAAAAAGUGCCAAGUAUUCAAUUCAACACAGUAAGUGUUGAACAUGAGGACAAAGAAAAUUCACUGGAGGGCCUUCAUUAAAAAAUAUCCCCACUGAAAAUAAAGCAGAGACCACCAGAGUGGACAGAGCACUCACCAUGGCCUUAGAAGGUGGAGCUUCCAAGCGGAUGCACCCAUUUCUAUGGGCUGAGGACCAUAACCUCUGAGCAUUAACUUCCUCUUCCAAAGCACAUGGAUGAUAUCUACUGCAGAGGCAUGUUGAAGGGAUUAAAUUGGUUAACGCAUACUGAAGCAGCCACUAAAUUUCUCUGUUAAAUACAUGUAUCUCUUCCCCUUACUUUUGCUGAGAACAAAAUAAUUUCUGUUCUUUGUUGCACCCAGUUUGUACUGAAGGGCAUAACCUUGAAUAUUUGAAAAGGAAAACUCUCUUCAGUUCAAUGGAAGAUAUAGGACAUGUUAAGUAAGAAACAGCAAGCUCUUUAAAUCAGUGAAUAGCUGUAUUGGGGGGAAAAAUGUGGUUCAUCCCAAGGCAGCCAAAAGUUGACCUGGUGAACUGUCUGGUUGGUUUUAUGCCCUAUUUAAACACACAUUAAACAGAUCUGAAGUGUCUUAAAAUGGAAAAAUGUCUUCGUUCAAAUAAUAAGAACUUAAUAAAAUUCUUCAUUACUUCACUGGAGCCUUAUUUGACAAUACUAAAUUUUUUCUCCUAGGCUUACAUGAUAGAUUCUAUCACAGAAUCUUUCUCUCCCACCACCUUUUUUUUAAAUUCCCUUUGGCUCUUAACUCUACCAUUAUGACAGCAACACUUAAAGCUGACCUUUUUUUGACAGAGUUAGCAAUUCUCCUCCAGGCUAUGUAGUGAUUCUUCAAUGCUUAUGUGUAAAUUAUGCAACUGUCUCAUACUUCACAGAAACAUUUUAUAAUCCUGUGUACUAUUCCAUCAUUGGUUUAAUGAAAACAUUAACACUUGGUUUCCAUAAUAUUUACCAUAUGGUAAAGUCACUGUUUUAUAGAGUAAAGGGACAGAUAGCUGAGGUCAAUUUAAAUAAUUGUCUUAAAAUUCCCCAUGAUGAACAAAUUUUUUAAAUUUAUCUUAUCUACCAAUAGCAUGGAAAUAUCAAGCUUAUAUACACAGGUGGACUUGCACCUUUACCGUAUUUGAUUAUUUUUCAUAACUUAGAAUCUAGGCAUAUAUCUAUGUAAUGGAGUUUUUACAGAAGCCUUUGGACAAGAACACAUUUGUUGUAAUUCUCGGUAUUUAAAUCAAUUGCGCAUAAUAAAAUGACUCAUGAAAA